CACGGCGCGGAGUGGGGCGGGACGCGGCCCCGCGGGACGCACACGGCGGGGACGGGCCCGGAGCUGCGGCCGUGGGCUCCUCGUUCCCGAUGGCCCUUCACAAAGGCUUUUAGGGCAAAAUUAAUUUAAUUCGUGUGGCUUUCGGCUCUGUCGUCUUCCAGAUCAUGUGUUUCCUUUUUGGCCUCCCCUUCCUUUCCCUCCUGCUUGGAAGCGGGGAAUUUGUCCUUGUUGUUCUCCUUUUUCCACUUCAUCCUCCUGUUCUGAAACCAGAUCUUUACCUGCCGCUCGCCCCGCGGUCCUCCCGCAGUUCCGUUAGCGAGAGCGGCGCGGGAACGCGGCGAGAGGCACAGAGGGGAGGAACGGAGGGAGCGGGGAGAGAGGAGAGGGAGGAGGAAAAGAAAGUUUCGAACUCAGACGUGAGAUGGAAGCGAACGUCGACUGCGUCCAACCUUGCGGUCUCAUCCAGGGAAACAUUUGAGCGGGAGACGAGCUCUGAUUUAAGUGGUCUGGUUCCUCGCCAAUAUUAGCACUGGACGAUUUACAGUCAGGAUAUUGUACCAGCUCGGCCUCUUGCUGUGUCGUAAAAAUCUGCUGUCUCUGUAAGUUAUCGUAUCCGUAAAAUUUAGCGGGCUCCCCGUGACAGGUAACCCCGCUGCAGGGGGCAGGAGGCGGAGGCGCGGCGGGGGGAGGAGGAGGCGGCUGGUAGGCGGCCGCGGGGCUCCCCCCGGCCGGAUGGUAAAAGUCCGCGCCGCCGCCGCCGCCCCCCGCCCCGCCGGGCUGCGGGAAGCCGGUCCCGUAGAGCAGAGCGGCGGCGGCGGCGGCGUGGCGGCCGCUCACCUCGGGCGCGAAGUGACAGUCGUAGUACGGGGCGGGCAGAGGCUCCCCCGCCGCCACCGCCGCCGCAGCCGCAGCCGCCGCCUUGUACUUGGAGUAGAGCGGGUUGACAAAGUAGGAGCUCAUCGGGGAGGGGGCAGCGGCGGGCGGGGAGCGGGCGCGGGGCGCUGCUCCCGGUGCCGCCGCCGGUGCCUCUCCGCUGCUCUCCCGGUGUCGCCGCCGCCGCGCCCCGUGCGCUCCCCUCUCCUGCUCUCCGUGUGCGCGGUGACCGGGGCUGGAAUAUAAUCGCUCCCAAAAUGACCUGCCUCACUGCUUUUACUAUUUCCUAUUAGGCACACAGCAGCCCGCGCGCGCACACACACACACACACACACACACACGCAAGCACGCUCAUGAGCUCAGGGGGGACUUUUGGCUUCAGUUUACAUGUGCCGCUCCUCAGGCAAGAAAAAAACCCGGCCCAGCCCUGCCCGGAUCCACCCCGGCCGAGGCGCCCCCGCUCCCCCCGCCGGGAGCCGCCGAACCCCCGCCGCGCGGGCGAGGCCGCGCAGAUCCGCGCGAUAACCGCGGGCGCGCUGCCCGGGGCCGGCCCAAAGCCGCGGCCGGAGAGAGCCCGCAGGGAACAGCCGCCCGGUGCGCGGAGCCGGGGGCGUCCGGAGGGC
rnacentral:lncRNA from 1 species